rnacentral:misc_RNA from 1 species
UUUCCGUAGGUGAACCUGCGGAAGGAUCAUUACAGUAGUCCCCCAGAUUGCCGCUAGGCCUCCUGGGUAACCUACCACCCUUUGUUUAUUGCACGUUGUUGCCUUGGCAAGCCUGCCCGCGGGCUGCUGCCUCCGGCCGGCGAGCGCUUUUAAGAGAACCUAAACUAUGUCUGUCGAUAUUGUGUGUGUACUAUAUAAUAGUUAAAACUUUCAACAACGGAUCCCUUGGUUCUG